rnacentral:rRNA from 1 species
AACGUAGGAGGCGAGCGUUAUCCGGAGUUACUGGGCGUAAAGCGCGUGUAGGCGGCUGUUUAAGUGUGCUGUGAAAUGUCCCGGCUCAACCGGGAAGGUGCGGCGCAGACUGGACGGCUGGAGGGUGACAGAGGCAGGUAGAAUUCCGGGUGUAGUGGUGAAAUGCGUAGAGAUCCGGAGGAAUACCAGUGGCGUAAGCGGCCUGCUGGGUCAAUCCUGACGCUGAGGUACGAAAGCUAGGGGAGCAAACAGG